GUGCUUGCUUUGGCAGCACAUACACUAAAUUGGAGCCAUACAGAAAAGAUUAGCAUGAUCCCUGUGAAAGGAUGCCAAGGAAAUUUGCAGUGUUCCAUAUUUCU
ensembl:snRNA U6 U6 spliceosomal RNA